rnacentral:rRNA from 1 species
GACAUAGGUCGCAAACGUUAUCCGGAAUUAUUGGCGUAAAGGAUGCGUAGAUGGUUCAGUAAGUUACUGGUGGGAAAUCGAGCCCAACCUCGUGGAAGUUAGUAAUACUGUUUUGAACUUGAGUGCAGGAGAGGUUUUAACGGAAAACUUCAUGUGGAGCGGUAAAAUGCGUAGAUAUAUGAAAGAACAUCAAUAUGGCGAAAGGCAGUUUAACUAUUUCUGCUACUGACAUUUGAGGGCAUGAAAGCGUGGGAGCAAACGG